UACGUAGGGUGCAAGCGUUGUCCGGAAUUAUUGGGCGUAAAGAGCUCGUAGGCGGUUCGUCGCGUCGGCUGUGAAAACCCGGAGCUCAACUCCGGGCCUGCAGUCGAUACGGGCGGACUAGAGUUCGGCAGGGGAGACUGGAAUUCCUGGUGUAGCGGUGAAAUGCGCAGAUAUCAGGAGGAACACCGGUGGCGAAGGCGGGUCUCUGGGCCGAUACUGACACUGAGAAGCGAAAGCGUGGGGAGCGAACAGG
rnacentral:rRNA from 1 species